UUUGUUAACAGUUCUAAAAAAAAAUUUCUUUUCUUUUGUUUUCUUUCUACAGGUGCGUCUCCGGCGAGGACUCUGGCUAGUCUCUGCCACUGAUCGCCGCCAGCCACACGGCCAGUGGAUGGCAGUAGAGCAGGUGGGGUGGCAGACGAUGGUUGAAGGCAGAAGGCCCUAGGUGCGGCGCACUUAGGGUUUGAAAUUUCUGAUUUUUCUUUUCUUUUCUCUCUUUUUUGUGUUGUUUGGGCUAGGGUUAAUUUUUGGGCUUGGGCAAGAAUUGGGCUGUACAAUAGGUAUAUAUAUAUUGGCAUUAGUCAUGUAGAAAAAGUAAAUUGUAUUUGUAAGUGUGAGUCCUCUAAUAGACUUAUUUGAAAACUUUGAUAA